rnacentral:lncRNA from 7 species
UUUAGCCCUGCUGAUUGGUAGGGCUGUGGAGCACGUGUGUGUGCUGGGUGUCUGCCCCCUUCCUUUCAGCUUUCCCUCCCAAAUACAGCCCCUUCUUGGCUCCAUUGUAAUGCUGUGCAGUUGUGUGUAUGUUCUCUGAGAGCAACUCCAUGCGUUCCUUCUUUUCCUCUCCCUUAUCUUGAGCUCUCAGCCUGCAUGGGCACGGGUGCAAGGUCUGUGCCAGUCCCCUCAGGCAACUAAUCUUAGUAGUGAACGUAGAUACAAACCUACAUAUGUGAUUUCAGCCUCUGCCUGGUGCUUGUGGCAAGCCUGAUGCAAUGUGUUCUCAGAAAAGUGUGAGGAGGAAGUAAUGGGCUUCCUUGCUCUUCUGCAGUAAGAAUAGCUCAUUCAUUAUUUAUCUUCACCAGAGUUUGGUUCCUGUAUAUUUGUUGAACUUUGCCUUGCUGCAGUGGCAAUCCUUUUUACUUACUGAAUCCUUGUAGCAGCUUCUUGAAGCUUAUCAAAAUGAGGGGACAUCAGGUUGUACUGAAAUCAUAGAAUCAGAACAUCCUAAAGGUUGGAAGAGGUCCAUAAGGAUCAUCGAGUCCAUCUCCUGGCCCACCACAGGACCACCCAAAGACCAGACCAUAUGGCAGACAGCACUGAAAAUGACUGUCCUCAGCCAACUGCUCAGUGCAACCUCUAUGGAGGCCUUCUUUCUUGAGCAUUUUUCUUCGAAAGGCUUUGCGAUAGUAUGAAAAGUUGGAGGCUGAGAUCUUCAGCGUUCGAAUCAAACAGAUGUUAAUGGUUUUUCACUUUCCCGGAAGAUCUGGCUUUUAACACGUUUUGGUUACUGGAACUGUUUUCAAGGAGAACGUCACGCCAGGAGCCUCCAGAGUGCUCUGUGUUUGUUACCAAGCUUUUGCAACUGUACUGAUUUGAAGGAUGACGUGGUGUUUGCUCGUGGUCCCAAUUAGAGGCUCUUUAGAGCAAAAUCCAGAGCAAUUUCUGGAUGUCGUUGACCAUGAUAGCUGAUUUUCUAAUCAUGGCUAAGCUGCUCUUCGUUCUGAAGUGAGCAUUGUUGCACCCUGACUGAAGCUGUGUUGCUCUGCAAAGGUGCUACCAGAGGGCAGCCACAGCGAGGCUGGGACAGAGGGCCGAUCAAAUGCUGCUCCUGCACUUCUGUCUCUGUCCCUAAACAGUGCCCCUCUCAAUGUCUUACAGCUACGGAUUUGGUAUCAGCUCAGAUGACUGGAAAUAGCUGCUGUUUUUUCCCAAUGUCCAGAUGUGCUGUUUUUUUUUUUAAACAUCGAAUUGUGCUUUAAAAACGUGGUCAUAUGACAGAGAUUACAGUUGUUAAGUAUUCACGUAUCAAGGAUUUCUAUUUUUGAAGAGGCAAACAACUCCAUUAUAGUUUGCAAUCUAUAUAUAAGAACUUACAGUGAAAAGCACGUACCAGAAAUAACCAAGAUGGGCUGAACCUUUAAGUUCCAAACUAUUUUCCUGAGCAAUGAGAAUAUUUUAUGAAACCUAAAGGAAUCUGCUUCCUGGAAAACCUCCCUCUGAAACAGCCCUGAGCUGCCCUGACGGCCAAGAACAAGAGUUUGGAUGCUUUGGAGCCCUCCUGUUAGAGGAAAUAGAUUUUUGAUGGGGGAUUGAAAUAGAUUUUUAAUGGGGGAAAAGGCUGCCACAAACAUAAGGCUGAAAGGGGGGUAAAAUGGCACGUUGUGUCCGUGCACGGAAUUAUGGACAGUUAUUG